CCUGAGUACGACGGAGCACGUGAAAUUCCGUCGGAAUCUGGGAGGACCAUCUCCUAAGGCUAAAUACUCUCUAGUGACCGAUAGUGAACCAGUACCGUGAGGGAAAGGUGAAAAGUACCCCGGAAGGGGAGUGAAAGAGAACUUGAAACCGUGUGCUUACAAGUAGUCAGAGCCCGUUAAUGGGUGAUGGCGUGCCUUUUGUAGAAUGAACCGGCGAGUUACGAUCUGAUGCAAGGUUAAGCAGAAAAUGUGGAGCCGUAGCGAAAGCGAGUCUGAAUAGGGCGAAUGAGUAUUUGGUCGUAGACCCGAAACCAGGUGAUCUACCCUUGGUCAGGUUGAAGUUCAGGUAACACUGAAUGGAGGACCGAACCGACUUACGUUGAAAAGUGAGCGGAUGAACUGAGGGUAGCGGAGAAAUUCCAAUCGAACUUGGAGAUAGCUGGUUCUCUCCGAAAUAGCUUUAGGGCUAGCCUCAAGUGAUGAUUAUUGGAGGUAGAGCACUGUUUGGACGAGGGGCCCCUCUCGGGUUACCGAAUUCAGACAAACUCCGAAUGCCAAAUAAUUUAACUUGGGAGUCAGAAUGUGGGUGAUAAGGUCCAUAUUCGAAAGGGAAACAGCCCAGACCACCAGCUAAGGUCCCAAAAUAUAUGUUAAGUGGAAAAGGAUGUGGCGUUGCCCAGACAACUAGGAUGUUGGCUUAGAAGCAGCCAUCAUUUAAAGAGUGCGUAAUAGCUCACUAGUCGAGUGACACUGCGCCGAAAAUGUACCGGGGCUAAACAUAUUACCGAAGCUGUGGAUUGUCCUUUGGACAAUGGUAGGAGAGCGUUCUAAGGGCGUUGAAGCAUGAUCGCAAGGACAUGUGGAGCGCUUAGAAGUGAGAAUGCCGGUGUGAGUAGCGAAAGACGGGUGAGAAUCCCGUCCACCGAUUGACUAAGGUUUCCAGAGGAAGGCUCGUCCGCUCUGGGUUAGUCGGGUCCUAAGCUGAGGCCGACAGGCGUAGGCGAUGGAUAACAGGUUGAUAUUCCUGUACCACCAUUAUUCGUUUUAAGCG
rnacentral:rRNA from 1 species